rnacentral:rRNA from 1 species
GAUGAACGCUGGCGGCGUGCCUAAUACAUGCAAGUCGAGCGAACAGACGAGGAGCUUGCUCCUCUGACGUUAGCGGCGGACGGGUGAGUAACACGUGGAUAACCUACCUAUAAGACUGGGAUAACUUCGGGAAACCGGAGCUAAUACCGGAGAAUAUAUUGAACCGCAUGGUUCAAUAGUGAAAGACGGUUUUGCUGUCACUUAUAGAUGGAUCCGCGCCGCAUUAGCUAGUUGGUAAGGUAACGGCUUACCAAGGCAACGAUGCGUAGCCGACCUGAGAGGGUGAUCGGCCACACUGGAACUGAGCCACGGUCCAGACUCCUACGGGAGGCAGCAGUAGGGAAUCUUCCGCAAUGGGCGAAAGCCUGACGGAGCAACGCCGCGUGAGUGAUGAAGGUCUUCGGAUCGUAAAACUCUGUUAUUAGGGAAGAACAAAUGUGUAAGUAACUAUGCACGUCUUGACGGUACCUAAUCAGAAAGCCACGGCUAACUACGUG